rnacentral:rRNA from 2 species
AAAUUGAAGAGUUUGAUCAUGGCUCAGAUUGAACGCUGGCGGCAGGCCUAACACAUGCAAGUCGAACGGUAACAGAAAGCAGCUUGCUGCUUUGCUGACGAGUGGCGGACGGGUGAGUAAUGUCUGGGAAACUGCCUGAUGGAGGGGGAUAACUACUGGAAACGGUGGCUAAUACCGCAUAACGUCGCAAGACCAAAGAGGGGGACCUUCGGGCCUCUUGCCAUCAGAUGUGCCCAGAUGGGAUUAGCUAGUUGGUGAGGUAACGGCUCACCAAGGCGACGAUCCCUAGCUGGUCUGAGAGGAUGACCAGCCACACUGGAACUGAGACACGGUCCAGACUCCUACGGGAGGCAGCAGUGGGGAAUAUUGCACAAUGGGCGCAAGCCUGAUGCAGCCAUGCCGCGUGUAUGAAGAAGGCCUUCGGGUUGUAAAGUACUUUCAGCGGGGAGGAAGGUGUUGUGGUUAAUAACCGCAGCAAUUGACGUUACCCGCAGAAGAAGCACCGGCUAACUCCGUGCCAGCAGCCGCGGUAAUACGGAGGGUGCAAGCGUUAAUCGGAAUUACUGGGCGUAAAGCGCACGCAGGCGGUCUGUCAAGUCGGAUGUGAAAUCCCCGGGCUCAACCUGGGAACUGCAUUCGAAACUGGCAGGCUUGAGUCUUGUAGAGGGGGGUAGAAUUCCAGGUGUAGCGGUGAAAUGCGUAGAGAUCUGGAGGAAUACCGGUGGCGAAGGCGGCCCCCUGGACAAAGACUGACGCUCAGGUGCGAAAGCGUGGGGAGCAAACAGGAUUAGAUACCCUGGUAGUCCACGCCGUAAACGAUGUCUACUUGGAGGUUGUGCCCUUGAGGCGUGGCUUCCGGAGCUAACGCGUUAAGUAGACCGCCUGGGGAGUACGGCCGCAAGGUUAAAACUCAAAUGAAUUGACGGGGGCCCGCACAAGCGGUGGAGCAUGUGGUUUAAUUCGAUGCAACGCGAAGAACCUUACCUGGUCUUGACAUCCACGGAAGUUUUCAGAGAUGAGAAUGUGCCUUCGGGAACCGUGAGACAGGUGCUGCAUGGCUGUCGUCAGCUCGUGUUGUGAAAUGUUGGGUUAAGUCCCGCAACGAGCGCAACCCUUAUCCUUUGUUGCCAGCGGUCCGGCCGGGAACUCAAAGGAGACUGCCAGUGAUAAACUGGAGGAAGGUGGGGAUGACGUCAAGUCAUCAUGGCCCUUACGACCAGGGCUACACACGUGCUACAAUGGCGCAUACAAAGAGAAGCGACCUCGCGAGAGCAAGCGGACCUCAUAAAGUGCGUCGUAGUCCGGAUUGGAGUCUGCAACUCGACUCCAUGAAGUCGGAAUCGCUAGUAAUCGUGGAUCAGAAUGCCACGGUGAAUACGUUCCCGGGCCUUGUACACACCGCCCGUCACACCAUGGGAGUGGGUUGCAAAAGAAGUAGGUAGCUUAACCUUCGGGAGGGCGCUUACCACUUUGUGAUUCAUGACUGGGGUGAAGUCGUAACAAGGUAACCGUAGGGGAACCUGCGGUUGGAUCACCUCCUUACCUUAAAGAA